GUUUGGUGCAGCCUCCUAUGCCCCAGAUCUGGGCUUUGCAUUUAGGGAACCUAAGUCCUGGAAGGGAGCUUUGGGCUCAGUCUCCCCCUCCCUAGUCUCAGUCCAUCGUAGAUGUUUGUGUCAUAUGGUGGUUUGAUCUGUACCUGUUGACUCUAGUGGAACAGGCCGGAGUUUCUAAUUAGUUGAAAACCACUCAGUUUCUUUAUGAUGACUCUUUGAAUCUGUAUAGUACCUUACACUUUUAUGUGUGUCGUGGCGGGAUUAUCUACAACAUGCCUAGGGCAUUGAAGUAUUCUGAACCUAAUUUCCAGAUGAGGACACUGAGGCCCAGAGACGGGUAAAUGAUGAACCCCAAAUCAAAUAGCGACUGGGCACAGUAAGAGUCAGGCUUGGGGCCAGGCCUCUCUUCUCGAGCUGGGCUCUCUUCCAUUGUGCUCCCAUGAUAUGUCCUCCCAGCAUGUCAUGGUUUCCAGACUUCACCUCUCCUCACCCACAUCCCUGUGCUACCUCUUCCAACUUUACUUUUUAUUUCUGUGCCGUUGGUGCAGCCUCCACAGAUGGAGGCCAUCCUGAGCUGAAGGCUGAGGGAGCAGGGCUGGGAAGCAUGUUGAGAAUUAGCCUCUUCUAGAUUCUGGGUACAUGGGAAUUCCACGAGGAACAUUUUCAAAAUGCACAGUCCUUGGGCCCGACUCCAGCUGUCUGCACCAGCGUGUUCUAGGGUGGAAGACUCCCAGGUGUUUAUGAGGUAUAUGCCCUGGUUAGGAUCAGUGCCUUAAAAGCCUAAGGUGACUCUGAAGACCUGGAGCCAGGCCUCCCAACCUAGCCGAGAGUGGAGUCAAAUCCUCCUGCCUCCACGGAAAUCUCCUGGCAUACAAGAUUGCACUGCCCUCUGGUGGCCACGGGGGGGACCAACAGCUGAUCCAGCUUUGGACCUCCAGCUUUAUCUUAAUUUGGGUGGGUGGGGUAUGGCAGGAGUUCCCCCACGAGCCAGGGUGUGCCAAAGACUUUCUGUGCUUUAGAAUCCAGCCAGCGCAUCUUCUGGGUGGCCCUUAAACUUGAGUAAGAGCAACUGGUCCUCUUAGGGAGGGGAUGGUGGGGCAGGAAUGGCUUGGCUGUCAGAAGCUGCUGCAGGGCUAACUGCAGCCACAGGCUGCACCCUGAGCUGUCCUUUGCUCUUCUACACCAUUACUUGCCCUUAGACUGCAAAGCCUGGCUUGACUGAAAUGUCAUUUGAAAAAGUGAUUAUGGGGCUGUACACCACACCUCACCUCUGGUAGAAAACUGGCCUGUAGGUUAAGUACCUGCCCCAGGUACUUAAUAGAGUAGAAUAGAGGCUCUGUAUACCACAGUUCCGUUGGUGAAUUCAUUUACUCAGCUGGAUACUGACUGAAUCUGCCAGGACUCCUGAAGUUUGCUGGAACCAAGUGAAAAAGCUCAGAGAAAUCCGUGAGGCAGCCAGUACAGCGGGAGCUCCGGAGAGGCUGGUGCUCUGAGGGGCCAGGAGAGACUGCAUGGCUGUAACUGCACUUGAGUUGGCCUGUGGAGGAAGGGGCACACUUUGGCUCUUUGGGAGCUGUGCCUCGCUGGCCACAGCAUAUCGUGGAGAGUGGGGAAGGGCCUGGAGAGCAGUGAGGGGGCUCGGAGCUUGCCGUCAUGAUCCAGAUGAGAGCUGAUGGAGAA